AGUCGAUGGGAAACAGGUUAAUAUUCCUGUACUUGGUGUUACUGCGAAGGGGGGACGGAGAAGGCUAUGUUGGCCGGGCGACGGUUGUCCCGGUUUAAGCGUGUAGGCUGGUUUUCCAGGCAAAUCCGGAAAAUCAAGGCUGAGGCGUGAUGACGAGGCACUACGGUGCUGAAGCAACAAAUGCCCUGCUUCCAGGAAAAGCCUCUAAGCAUCAGGUAACAUCAAAUCGUACCCCAAACCGACACAGGUGGUCAGGUAGAGAAUACCAAGGCGCUUGAGAGAACUCGGGUGAAGGAACUAGGCAAAAUGGUGCCGUAACUUCGGGAGAAGGCACGCUGAUAUGUAGGUGAAGUCCCUCGCGGAUGGAGCUGAAAUCAGUCGAAGAUACCAGCUGGCUGCAACUGUUUAUUAAAAACACAGCACUGUGCAAACACGAAAGUGGACGUAUACGGUGUGACGCCUGCCCGGUGCCGGAAGGUUAAUUGAUGGGGUCAGCGCAAGCGAAGCUCUUGAUCGAAGCCCCGGUAAACGGCGGCCGUAACUAUAACGGUCCUAAGGUAGCGAAAUUCCUUGUCGGGUAAGUUCCGACCUGCACGAAUGGCGUAAUGAUGGCCAGGCUGUCUCCACCCGAGACUCAGUGAAAUUGAACUCGCUGUGAAGAUGCAGUGUACCCGCGGCAAGACGGAAAGACCCCGUGAACCUUUACUAUAGCUUGACACUGAACAUUGAGCCUUGAUGUGUAGGAUAGGUGGGAGGCUUUGAAGUGUGGACGCCAGUCUGCAUGGAGCCGACCUUGAAAUACCACCCUUUAAUGUUUGAUGUUCUAACGUGGACCCGUGAUCCGGGUUGCGGACAGUGUCUGGUGGGUAGUUUGACUGGGGCGGUCUCCUCCUAAAGAGUAACGGAGGAGCACGAAGGUUGGCUAAUCCUGGUCGGACAUCAGGAGGUUAGUGCAAUGGCAUAAGCCAGCUUGACUGCGAGCGUGACGGCGCGAGCAGGUGCGAAAGCAGGUCAUAGUGAUCCGGUGGUUCUGAAUGGAAGGGCCAUCGCUCAACGGAUAAAAGGUACUCCGGGGAUAACAGGCUGAUACCGCCCAAGAGUUCAUAUCGACGGCGGUGUUUGGCACCUCGAUGUCGGCUCAUCACAUCCUGGGGCUGAAGUAGGUCCCAAGGGUAUGGCUGUUCGCCAUUUAAAGUGGUACGCGAGCUGGGUUUAGAACGUCGUGAGACAGUUCGGUCCCUAUCUGCCGUGGGCGCUGGAGAACUGAGGGGGGCUGCUCCUAGUACGAGAGGACCGGAGUGGACGCAUCACUGGUGUUCGGGUUGUCAUGCCAAUGGCACUGCCCGGUAGCUAAAUGCGGAAGAGAUAAGUGCUGAAAGCAUCUAAGCACGAAACUUGCCCCGAGAUGAGUUCUCCCUGACCCUUUAAGGGUCCUGAAGGAACGUUGAAGACGACGACGUUGAUAGGCCGGGUGUGUAAGCGCAGCGAUGCGUUGAGCUAACCGGUACUAAUGAACCGUGAGGCUUAACCUUACAACGCCGAAGGUGUUU
rnacentral:rRNA from 1 species